AUUUUUUAAAAGAAUUUUUGUAUCUGUGUUCAUAAUUUUGGUGUUUCCUUGUUUUGUAUUGUUGUCAUCAGGUUUAAAUGUUAAUGUAAAACUAAGUCCAUAAGAUAAACUUGGAAACUUUUCUAUAAUCUCGAUAGAACUCAGUCGUGAAAGCAUUUGGGUCUGCUGCCUCUUUGUAAAAUGGUAGGUUUUUACUUUAAUGAUCUCUUCUAUUUUAACUGGCCCACCAACUUUUCUUCUUAAAUGCAUUUUGGUAUCUGUAUUGCCAUGGGAAAUCAUCCAUUUCUUCUAAAUCAGUACUCUGCAAACAUUAAUGUGCAUUCACAUCACCUGAGGGAGGUUGUGAACAUGCUUAUUCUAAUUCUGUGGGCCUGAUGUGGGGUCCAAGACUCUGCAUUUCUUGCAUGCUCCGUGGAGAUAGUGAUGCUGGUUCAUGGACCAUAUGGUCCAAGCCCACUAAGAAUUCAGUGGUUCUCAAUUUUGGUCAAACAUCAGAAUCACGUGAGGCAGCCUUUGUCCCACCCAGUGCCCAGGCAACGCUCCAGACCAAUUAAAUUGGAAUCUCUGGGAGGGACUUCAGUUCAGUUCAGUUCCGUCGCUCAGUCGUGUCCGACUCUUUGCAACCCCAUGAAUUGCAGCACGCCAGGCCUCCCUGUCCAUCACCAACUCCUGGAGUUCACUCAGACUCAUGUCCAUCGAGUCAGUGACACCAUCCAGCCAUCUCAUCGUCUGUCGUCCCCUUCUCCUCCUGCCCCUAGUUCCUCCCAGCAUCAGAGUCUUUUCCAAUGAGUCAACUCUUCGCAUGAGGUGGCCAAAGUACUGGAGUUUCAGCUUUAGCAUCUUCCUUCCAAAGAACACCCAGGACUGAUCUCCUUUAGAAUAGACUGGUUGGAUCUCCUUGCAGUCCAAGGGACUCUCAAGAGUCUUCUGCAACACCAUGGUUCAAAAGCAUCAAUUCUUCGGCGCUCAGCUUUCUUCACAGUCCAACUCUCACAUCCAUACAUGACCACUGGAAAAACCAUAGCCUUGACUAGGCGGAAGGACUUAGGCAUCAGUAAUUUUCAAGUUCCUCAAUUGAUGACAAUGUGUAGCCAUGGUUAAGGACCACUUUUCUAGAUUUUUCUAUUUAUUACCAUAAAGAUGUACGUAAUAUUCUCAUAAUUAUUUUAUUCUCUUGCAUUUCUGGUAAUAUCUCCUUUCUAGUGUUGAUCACUAGUUUUAUUGGUUUGGGUUCAUACUGUGUCCCAAAUAUCCUCUACAUUUUUUGGAAUUUUAUAGUUUUCUUUUUGGGCAAGGGAUAAUAAGUUUUUUUAGGGGGAACAUACAGUACAGGAAAAUUAGUACAAUGUAUAUUUUUCCAUUUCUGAUAUAAAUUUAUAGAUAAAGUUGG
ensembl:lncRNA